AUUGAACGCUGGCGGCAGGCCUAACACAUGCAAGUCGAACGGUAACAGGAAACAGCUUGCUGUUUCGCUGACGAGUGGCGGACGGGUGAGUAAUGUCUGGGAAACUGCCUGAUGGAGGGGGAUAGCUACUGGAAACGGUAGCUAAUACCGCAUAACGUCGCAAGACCAAAGAGGGGGACCUUCGGGCCUCUUGCCAUCGGAUGUGCCCAGAUGGGAUUAGCUAGUAGGUGGGGUAACGGCUCACCUAGGCGACGAUCCCUAGCUGGUCUGAGAGGAUGACCAGCCACACUGGAACUGAGACACGGUCCAGACUCCUACGGGAGGCAGCAGUGGGGAAUAUUGCACAAUGGGCGCAAGCCUGAUGCAGCAAUGCCGCGUGUAUGAAGAAGGCCUUCGGGUUGUAAAGUACUUUCAGCGGGGAUGAAGGGAGUAAAGUUAAUACCUUUGCUCAUUGACGUUACCCGCAGAAGAAGCACCGGCUAACUCCGUG
rnacentral:rRNA from 1 species